rnacentral:rRNA from 1 species
UAAGACGAACCGUGCGAACGUUGUUCGGAAUCACUGGGCUUAAAGGGCGCGUAGGCGGGUUUGCAAGUCUGCGGUGAAAGCCUCCAGCUUAACUGGAGAAGUGCCGUGGAUACUGCGAAUCUCGAGGAGGGUAGGGGCAUCUGGAACGUUGGGUGGAGCGGUGAAAUGCGUUGAUAUCCAACGGAACUCCGGUGGCGAAGGCGAGGUGCUGGACCCUUUCUGACGCUGAGGCGCGAAAGCCAGGGGAGCGAACGGGAUUAGAUACCCCGGUAGUCCUGGCCCUAAACGUUGAGAACUAGGUAGUGGACUUAACAUGGGUUCACUGUCGAAGCAAAAGUGCUAAGUUCUCCGCCUGGGGAGUAUGGUCGCAAGGCUG